ACUGCUUUUUCUUGAUAUAUUCAAGAAGCCCGUUAUCUCGCUAAUUUUAGCAUUAUAGGUAACGGGUUUUUCUUU
rnacentral:sRNA from 1 species